UACGUAGGGGGCUAGCGUUGUCCGGAAUCAUUGGGCGUAAAGCGCGUGUAGGCGGUUCGGUAAGUCCGCUGUGAAAGUCGGGGGCUCAACCCUCGAAAGCCGGUGGAUACUGUCGGACUAGAGUGCGGAAGAGGCGAGUGGAAUUCCUGGUGUAGCGGUGAAAUGCGCAGAUAUCAGGAGGAACACCAACGGCGAAGGCAGCACUCUGGGCUGGAACUGACGCUGAGGAGCGAAAGCGUGGGUAGCAAACAGG
rnacentral:rRNA from 1 species